AACGAACGCUGGCGGCAGACUUAACACAUGCAAGUCGAGCGCCCCGCAAGGGGAGCGGCAGACGGGUGAGUAACGCGUGGGAACGUACCCUUUGCUACGGAAUAGCUCCGGGAAACUGGAAUUAAUACCGUAUGUGCCCUACGGGGGAAAGAUUUAUCGGCAAAGGAUCGGCUCGCGUUGGAUUAGCUAGUUGGUGGGGUAAUGGCCUACCAAGGCGACGAUCCAUAGCUGGUCUGAGAGGAUGAUCAGCCACAUUGGGACUGAGACACGGCCCAAACUCCUACGGGAGGCAGCAGUGGGGAAUAUUGCGCAAUGGGCGAAAGCCUGACGCAGCCAUGCCGCGUGAAUGAUGAAGGUCUUAGGAUUGUAAAAUUCUUUCACCGGGGACGAUAAUGACGGUACCCGGAGAAGAAGCCCCGGCUAACUUCGUGCCAGCCGCCGCCGUAACAC
rnacentral:rRNA from 1 species